rfam:Triticum aestivum genome assembly, contig: Triticum_aestivum_CS42_TGACv1_scaffold_423285_5BS
CAGAUACUCCCUCCGUCCGGAAAUACUUGUCAUCAAAAUGGAUAAAAGGGGAUGUAUCUAGACGUUUCUAGAUACAUCCCCUUUUAUCCAUUUUGAUGACAAGUAUUUCCGGAUAAGUGAGUACAAA